UAAAGGCAAAGGCCUCAGCAUAAAUGUUGGUCCAUGGCACUCCUCGUUACAACUAUUCAUUUACUCCCCCCAUGCUAUCAAGUACAUUCUAGUAUAAUAGGAAAAAUGAAGUGUAACUUUCAACACUAAAGUUUACAAAAAACAUGCUUAAGGUUCAGAAUACACAACUAGAUGUACCAACCCCUUCAAUCUUACUGGCUUUAUAUUAAGCACCAUUUAUGCCAAAGAAGAGAACCUGGUAAAGUAGGGAGAAUUUUACAGAUGCUGUAAUGUACCAAUACUGGGUCCUCAAAUUACAUAUCACUCAAAAUAUGUUUAGAAGCAUGUUACACUCUUCAAAUCAGACAUGUACAUACAGAGGCAUGCUGCAGCUUCAACAGUCACAUGGAAGUCAGUGCAAAUUGAUUGUCAAGAGGUUCUACGCUUCUAGCUACUUGUCUCUUCAUGGCCAGUUUGAAGUCUUCUUUCACUCCCUUGUCUGUUCCACGUGUUGAAAUUCUGCGUUGGCUGUAAUAAAACAUUUUUUAUAUUACCUAAUAUUCUGGAAAAUGUGUCAUCACUAGAUAUAAGAAACGACACAAUUUUUCACAUUAGAAAUGUUUCUUCUUCAGAAUUUGAUUGACAAAGCCAUCUGAUGUCCAUCAUCUCAUUCAGCUACAGGUUUCAGUAUUAUAGACAACAUGUAAAAAUAAUUCUGUCUCUGUGCCUAAGUACAGGCACAUAAAGGGAAUGGAGAGGUAAAGGCCCAUGAAUUUUUAACCUCAGUAUAACAUCAAAGUGAGCUUUAUGCUCUGAUCAUUUCAACCCUGGGAAAGAAUGCAAUUUAUAUGGCAAAGUCAGAAGAUGACAAGAAAGUCAUCAUAAUGAUACAUACAAAAAUGCACAAAAUAUGUAUCUUGUCAGCAUACAUUUUCCAUACAGAAAAUCGGGAAUUUUGAAAUGCAAGAAAAAGUAGACGGAGACAGUUGGAGUCUCCUAUGCAAAAGUCAAGACACAAGUGUGGAAAUCAACUAAAGAAAAAGAAGAAAAGGCAAGUAGUGUUUACAUAUCACAGUGAAUUUUAUAACAUUUUUUAUACAUCUACACAAAUUUCUGUUUUAGCAAAUAUAUGUCUUAAUGAAUCACUUUGAUAAGUACACCAAAUUUUACUGUGAUGAUUCUUAUUUAUAUUACCUUGUGAUUUGCACCGAGGGCAUGACAUCUAGACUGAUGCCUCCACCUUGCUCUGUUGAGAGAUACAUGAAUUCUUCUAAGACAUCCACAUUCACUACAUAAUUCUGAAAGAGGCUGUAUGAAAAAGAUCCCCGUUGACGGAUACGUUCCAUCAGUUGCGUCAUUAACUCUUCCUCCAGAGGCCAAUCAAACUGCAGGAGUGUAAUAAUGUGGCCAAUUGCCAAAUCACUGUCUGGUUGCAACUUUGACAGACACUGGUGCUAAGAAGAAAGAAACCACAGAAUAGAACAAGAACAUCGUACAUCAUAGUACAAAUUUUGGUACAGAACACAGAAUGAGUUCUGAGACUGUCAUGUAUAUAGUUUUCACAGUAAUGCUAUGUGAAAGCACAGAAUGUACUUAGUAGCAUUGUACAUGUAUCCCAUAAUUAUUCAACCAAAAAGGAAAAGUUAUUGUGGACACACCACUGGAGUGAGAUGAUACAGGGAAAUGCAAAAUAUGGCAGUAAUGCUCCAAGAGCAGUCAAAGCGUGUGAUUUUGAAGACAAUGUGUGUUUGGGUCCUUAUACACGUCAGGAGUGUAUGCAGAGACACAAAUUCAGGAUGCAGGGUUGCCACUGCUGUUUUCCAAUAUACUGAAUCCCCUCACCACUGGGCAUGAUGUGCUCAACUUCCUAAAUGUAACAUCUGGCAGUAACCGGUAUGGCUGGGGAGGUCCAACAUUAUGACCCCACCCCCCAUUUCUCUUUACCUAAUCCAAAUAGCUUCUUUCUCCAGGUUAAUGCUAAAGACACUGUUUACAUCCAGCAACAACACUUACUCCCUGAACACUGCCAACUCACUGAGGCUGUAUUUUCCUCGGUUGCUUGGACACACAUGGCUUGUGAAUCUAGAAAGUGAAUCUGGUACUGCUACUGCCAGUUGAAAGAAGACUAAAAUAUAGUAAUCUCUUCUAUAGCAAGAUGGUUUCCACCCUUUACAAUUAUGCUUUUGUUUUAUGUCAGUGAAAAAUACAGAGUUAAAAGUAAGUUGCCUUCAAAGGUCGGUGCAGAACAAGUUCUAGAAAAAAAUGCUGAAAAUUUGUGAAUCCAAAUGUAAUGUAUAAGUACACUUCUUACAAAUAUAUGACUGUCUUGCUCUUGUUUUUCACUCACUUUAAGUGCUGCAACCAGGAGUUUGAUGCAGUACUGCAAAACCUGCAGUCUUGUUAAAGGCAGGAAAUGAAGAUGUCUGUUUGACUGACUAGGCUGGAGCAAUACAUUUGUCAACUGAUGUGUAGAAGGAAGUGAUGUCAGCAUACUGGAUGAAGGCAAUAAUGUAAUUACCUGAAGGAUAUGCUCCAAUGACCUCUAAAAUAAUACAAACAAUUUGAAUACAAUGUCUUUCCACUCAUGAAGAUGGCUGUCUUCUGGGUUCUAGCAUCGUGUAGUAUGGUGAAAGUUUACCAACAUUUCUGAAGCACUUGCUGUCUCAAACAUCAGACUAUAAAGUCCUCCAAAAGACAGCCAUCUUCACACUCAUCACCAUGAGAACUUUAAAUCUUUUCACUCAAUAUGAAUUUUAUACCUGCUGCUAUCUCUUUCAAUCUAAAGCAAUAAAGUUUUGUACUGUCUUUCAUAAUCAAAAGUGGUAAGGAUGGAAUACAUAUGGAUUUAUUUUCUUCCUCAUUUCAUAAAACAUAUGAGUGUGUGAAAUGCACAAUGGUAAAAAUUAUGUGAUGAAAUAUAAUACAAAAAAGUGCUGAUUAUCUGGAGCUCAAACUGUCUCUAAUGUAUAAUUAUAUUUUUCUUAAUUACUCACAACACUGUCUUAUAUUCAGUGUUUCGUAUUUUUGGUAUAUGUUUUGCAAUGUUAACACACAUAUUUCUAUCUAUAAAUAUAAGUUAAUAUUUUGCUUAUGUGGAUGACAAUAAAAUAAAAUUUGCAUUAA